rnacentral:lncRNA from 1 species
GUGAAGCACAGAGCAUUCACCAGGGCCCACAGCAAUAUUUGGUCUCAUUCUUGUUAACCUGCUACAUUUCCUUCCCAGUGAAUGCAUGACUUCUGCUUACUCACAAAAGCACACUUUAGGCUUGGACACUGAAGGGAUGGGACAGGCCAGCACCUCAAUAAUCAGAACUACAUCAGACAUGUCACCUGGAAACAGCAGCACACAUCAGGUGGAUCAGGCAAAAAAUUCACAACUUCUAAUACCUGUUGUUAAAAAAGACCUUUAUGGGAUGGAGAAAACAAUAUUAUUGUCAGAGGAUCUAGGAGCCCGAUCAGAUUUUCUUGGGAGCAUGAUGCCAGGCUUUGCAGCACCUUGUUAUUUUAGAUACUGCCUGGCAGACCAGUGGGAUUUUGCACACAGCAGAGGGCUGCUUCUCACAGUUCACAAACUGGCUGUAGCACUCCCUUUCCUUGAGGACCAAUCAACUGCACUCAGGUAAGAUGCUUCUUCCCUCAGAACAGCAUUUGUGAUGUGGU